AGUUUGCAUUGACGACGUUCCUCUCAUGCAAGCAUGCAGUCCUAGAGAGGCGUUCAAGAUAUUACUCCUGGCAGACUUUGCGUCAACGUUGCCUACCCAAAAGAGGCAAGUCUUACCCUGGAGUUCACUCAUAGGUCAAUUGCCACUGUCACUCCCGGAAAGGGCACAAAGACUGAGCAUACACGAGGGAAACAGCACAUGAACCCGAAAGUGGCGUCAUUGAUUAGCUUCCUCAAGGAAUUGACUUUCAAACAUCUGUGCCUGCCAACUCGAACAAUAUCGCCGGGAGAUUUCUCAAUCUGGACCCGUUGUGACACUGUGGGCAUAGUGAACGAAGCGGGAAUUGUAAUGCCUUGUUUUUCGUUGUUAGACACAACAUUAAUUACAACAGACAAGAAAGCCAAGGCAAGUACAGGGGAUGUUGUUUGUAGCCAUUACGAAGCAAACGUCAAGAAAGCAAAGUGGACGAAAAGAUAACAUGCCGCUGGCAGGGACCGAACCUGCGACCUUCGAUUAACGCAUAGUGACCGCUUGUGAUAGUGUGGGCAUCUCUCGUAUUUCAAGAUGCACAUGUUGGCAACUGCCUGAACUUCUACGUUUCAUGUCAAUAAACUUGUUUGCAUUUCA